GCCUUCGUGGUGUAGUGGUGAGCACGCUCGGUGUAUAUUCAAGAGGUCCAUGGUUCAAGUCCCGGCGAGGGCA
rfam:Stegodyphus mimosarum contig74053, whole genome shotgun sequence.